AGAGAGAGAGAGAGAGAGAGAGAGAGAGAGAGAGAGAGAGAGAGAGAGAGCGCGGCGCGCGCGUGUGCCCAAGCCCACACGCCCACAGUCUCAUGCAGGGAUGUAUGGUGACCAGAGGACAGCUGGACAGUUGACUUUUUCUACUGUCGCUUCGGACAGCUCAGGUCUCAGGCUCACACAGCGAACACUUCCCCCCUAUCCUGCCAGCCCUACUGACUGUUUCUCUUACAUUACUUCUCUUUCUCUCCCUGUAGCUACUUAUCUCUUGAUUUAUUUUGUUUGUUUGUGUCUCAGAGACAGGGUUUCCAUGUGUAGCUCUGGUUGUGACGACCGGGCUGGCCUUGAAUUUAGAGAUAAGCCUGUUUCUGCCUCCAGUGCUGGGAUUGAGGGCGUGCACCACCACACCUGGCGGUCAUUUUAUUCUUAACUUGGGAGACGUUGACUGUUUCCUGUGGGCAGCGCCGAGAGAGUUGUCACAGUGGAACUGCCGUGAGGCCCCGUGUCUUCCUUCUGAGAUGGGCCAGUCUUCUCUGAAAUGCAAUCUAGUAGAAAUGAUACCAAAGAUGAUCGUGGUAACUCAAAAGUGCCUGAUUCUCCUGGUCAUGGCUUUGUCCCUCCACCGGGUCCCCCAGUUCCUCCUGUGGACCCAAGGAGCCAGUUUAUGGGAAGGGCCUGCCCCUUCCCCCCACCUUCUCCAAGAAACAUCUAUGGAGCUCCUCCAGAUUAUUAUUCUCCACCU